ensembl:lncRNA
AACUGAUGAAAAUUGCAAAACUAUUACAACCCUGGUGCAGAGAUUGGCAAAUCUGACCAGGAAACGUUAUAAAAUGGAUUGUCAGGAUAGUCAGCGUUAAAGCCACUUUUGACAGUCCAUACUAGGAUGGCAUUGGACAUCUUCGGGGCAGAAAAGGGUUGGUGUGACCAAGGUGUGGUUUGGCUUGUUGUAUGUACAUUUCAAAAUGUUACAGCUCUGGAUGGACCAGUUACCAGAUAUGAUGUCACUAACCUUCUCUUUUAAGUGUCUAGCUCCAAUGAAUUGACACAUGGGAGUGUGUCAAAAAGGGGGAGUUGAGUCCGAACAUCAAACAAUGGUUUUAUGAACAUCUUAUGACGUAUUUCUGUGUUUAAUAAUUUAGCUAUGGUAAAACUUAAGCUUAUAAUGUGUUAGACUUAGAAAGGGUUCACUAAUUUUUGAUUUCUUUUACACACACAUAGAUUAUGAUUAGAAUAGGUCCUGAACAUAAUAUUUUAAACCAAAUUUGAAUCAUUAGAACAACAAUGGAUAACAAUAUUAGAUUAUCAAGGCUAGGGAGAGAGGUGUUUUGGUUUUAUGUCUCUUGCAGAGAAAGGAACAGACACCAGACGGGGACACGGAGAUGUGAGGACCCUUCACAGCAGAGACAGAUGUAGGGACUGCCGAGACAGCAACUGGGGUCAAGUGUCAUGACGUUUGGGCUCCUGGAGAAGAUGGAUCCCACAAACACAGCAAUAACCAUGAAGGGGUUGGCGAAAACCAGGAACACCAGACCAACGAGGUUCGAGAGGCUCUUGGCAAAAAGGGGGACACGCCGGUGAACCCAAAACACACAGAUCCUUGUUUGAAAUCGGGGCGGAAUAAUCCCCAGAACUGUGCAAUGACUAAAGGGUGGUCUAACCCCGGAGGUCGAAGAAAGAAGCUGAGAAUCACCCAACUGGAAGACACUGGUAGCUGCAGCAAUAAAAAUAAAGCCCAAAGAUUCAAAGAACUGCGUGUUUUCAACA